rnacentral:rRNA from 1 species
GGGAAGCUCACCAGGUCCAGACAUAUAUAGGAUUGACAGAUUGAUAGCUCUUUCUCGAUUUUAUGGGUGGUGGUGCAUGGCCGUUCUUAGUUGGUGGAGUGAUUUGUCUGGUUAAUUCCGUUAACGAACGAGACCUUAGCCUGCUAAAUAGUAUCAGGAAUGAUUCCUUUUUGCUUCUUAGAGGGACUUUGUGUGUUUAGCACAUGGAAGCUUGAGGCAAUAA